AAAGAAAAAGAAAGUACUGUACACAUUGAAACUCAUCAGAACACAAGCAAAAAUGUUGCGGCUGUGCAGCCAAUGAAACGAGGACAAAAGAGUAAAAUGAAAAAAAUGAAAGAAAAAUACAAAGACCAGGAUGAAGAAGACCGUGAACUUAUCAUGAAGUUGCUGGGGGUUCAAACAAAGAAGAAAAAGGGAAGAAGGGGAAGAAAGGAAAAACAAAGGACGAACCUGUGAAGAAACAGCCCCAGAAACCUAGAGGUGGACAGAGGGUCUCUGACAACAUUAAGAAAGAAACUCCGUUCCUUGAGGUUAUAACUCAUGAGUUACAAGACUUUGCUGUAGAUGAUCCACAUGAUGACAAGGAAGAGCAAGAUCUGGAUCAACAGGGAAAUGAGGAAAACCUAUUUGAUUCUUUGACAGGCCAGCCACAUCCUGAAGAUGUACUACUGUUUGCCAUUCCAAUAUGUGCCCCUUACACCACCAUGACAAACUACAAGUAAAUAUAAAGUGAAACUUACUCCUGGAGUGCAGAAAAAGGGAAAAGCUGCAAAAACAGCCUUGAAUAGUUUCAUGCAUUCCAAAGAAGCAACAGCAAGAGAAAAAGACUUAUUCCGCAGCGUAAAGGACACAGAUUUAUCAAGAAACAUUCCUGGCAAAGUGAAAGUGUCUGCACCCAAUCUUCUGAACGUAAAAAGGAAAUAGCUGAAAUGAAAUUCUAAAAUAUUUGAGAAGAGCCAAUUUUAUAGCCUUUUGGAAGUUCAAAGAUGAAAGCACCAUGUAUCAGGAUUUCCGCAUUAUAAAAAUGAACUAAACAUUGCCUUGCUAUAUUCACCAAAAGGACUUACUUCUUGUUUUUUCCCAGUUUUAUAUAGAGGAAACACUGUCUAUGAUAGGAUUUCCAAAAGUAUUUGUGGACAGUUAAAUGCUAAUUAAUAUACAUCUGUAGUUAUUCUACAUUUUCUUGAAAUUUGGGAGGUUAAUACCAAGUAUUCAUUUCAUGAUGUAAAGAAACUGAACAGUGAAGUGGCUUGAUUGCUUAAACUAUUGACUUGGUAAGUCUACUGUAUAUAACAUCUAAUAUAUAUAUUACAGGCCAAAUGAACUAAACAUUGCCUUGCUAUAUUCACCAAAA
rnacentral:lncRNA from 1 species